rnacentral:rRNA from 1 species
GACAGAGGAUGCAAGCGUUAUCCGGAAUGAUUGGGCGUAAAGCGUCUGUAGGUGGCUUAAGUCCGCCGUCAAAUCCCAGGGCUUCAACCCUGGACAGGCGGUGGAAACUACCAAGCUGGAGUACGGUAGGGGCAGAGGGAAUUCCGGUGGAGCGGUGAAAUGCGUAGAGAUCGGAAAGAACACCAACGGCGAAGCACUCUGCUGGGCCGACACUGACACUGAGAGACGAAAGCUAGGGUAGCAAAUGGG